UGGGUGUGGUGGCACACACCUGUAAUCCCAGCAACUUGGGAGGCUGAGGCAUGAGAAUUGCACAGGUUGCAGUGAGCCUAGAUCACGCCACUGCACUACAGCCUAGGUGACAGAGCAAGACUGUCUCAAAAAAACAAAACAACAACAACAAAAAAGCCCUUGUUUUUAAAAGCUUCUAGAGGUGAAUACCCAGAUGAUAAUUAAAAUUCAAUCCAGUGCGUUACAAUCUUAUCAACGUAUUCUUCCUUACUUCUAGGAGCAUGAGAGAGAUGGUAUUGCACAGUGGCUAAAACUCUGGCUUUGGACCUGAACUUGAAUCUGAAUUUCAUGAAUUUUAGCUGACAUGUUUUGGCCAGGCGCGGUGGCUCACACCUGUGAUCCC
rnacentral:lncRNA from 1 species